rnacentral:rRNA from 1 species
CGUUCCCGGGUCUUGUACACACCGCCCGUCACACCACGAAAGUCGGCAACACCCGAAGCCGGUGGCCUAACCCGCAAGGGAGGGAGCCGUCGAAGGUGGGCUGGCGAUUGGGGUG